CACAGGCAACCACAAUCUGAAAAUAUUAAGUGGCAAACCCCAAAAAUAAACAAUUCAUAAGCACUAUUCACAAUGGCCAAUUCCCAGCCGGCCAAGAGAGGGAAUUAACAGAAGAAUGGAUAAGGAAAACAUACUAUAUACAUACAGUGGGAUGUUAUUUGACUGUAAAAAAAAAUCCUAUCACCUGCAGCAACAUAAAUGAAAUUGGAAGUCAUUCAGUGAAACAAGCCAGACAAAAAAGGUUUGGUGUCUUUCUUGUACCUUCCUCCUUCCAAAAAUUACUAAGCUAUAAAGACAAAUUUCGGAGAUACAGUAUCUGAGUGACUCAGAUGAAAAGGAACAAAAGAAAACCAGGAAAUGAGCUUAUUGAAAGUUCAUACACAUGGACUGCAUCUCCUGCACCCAAUGACAACAGAGUGAAUUAUGGGAAAGGACAUGCGCAGUAAUACAACUGACAUGACUCAGAACCCUUGUCAAUCAUGCUCUGAAAGACUCA
ensembl:lncRNA